rnacentral:lncRNA from 1 species
ACAAGUAAGCCAAGACACAACAAACAAACAGAUGAUACUAGUUGCCAAAGUAGAAUACAAGAACAACAAAAAAGUCGGCCCAUUAUGCAAAAGCGUUACUUUCACCUAACCCCUAUAACACAGUCAUGAAAAGCGGAGUCUUAAAGCAGACGCUUGUCACCAUUGAUUUUUGUCUCUGACCUCAAAGCUAACAACUUCCUAAACAUGCCCAUUUGCAUGAGCACAGAUCUCUGUACUAUUACUUUCACACACGACAGCUUCAAGAUGAUUUAGUUCUCUUAACAGAAGAUGGCCUGAUUAAUUUUAGCUGCUCGAAACCAGUAAAAAUAUAAGAAGAAGUCGCAUUAUCUAUCCUCUAGCUAGCAAUGAGAAUGACCAGUGUGCCCUAGGGGGUUACACACAGCAAUCAAUUCAUGUAAUCAUCUAAGCGGUUAGGCACUACUACUAUGCAGAUGAUGUUACAACACAACAUAACACAACACAAUACAUUAUCAUUGAUAGCCCAAGGUAGUUAAGCUAUCAUUACCAUAUCUGGCCCACAUCUGAGGCUGG